UGAGCGAUAGUCGCAGCUCUCUUGCGGCUCCUCGCUGGCGGCCUUCGACUUCCUGAUCUUGCUCUAGGGUUUUGCAUUAGCUUGCGGACCUUGAGAGGAGUUAAAAGCAGUGAGACGUCAGGGACCGAGACUGCGGAUACCUGAGGGACCUUUGUCUGAGGGACAGGCUCUUACCCUGCAGGAGUCUUAUGGCCUCUAGCCUGCUCUUAAGCAGUUCUUUUUACCCCUGUUAUGCCCCCCUCCCGACUCUCUUUACUCAGUAUCUCUCUGGCCUUAAUGAAACGAAAUACGGCAAGAUAGAUGAGAAAGCUGAGGUCAGAAAGAUAAACUGAGAAGCCCGUUCUGGAAGAGAAGUGCAAGUAUCUGAUGUCCAGAAACAAGGAAGCUGUAGCCUCAGAAGCUUCCCAGCCACCUCCGCCCCACCACCACUGCUGUCAUUCAGAUUCUUCUUCCCCCACCCUUGCCUGAGGGAGGUGGGGGAGGAAGGAAGGACGAA